GGCACCCCACCAGGAUUGCUCUGCUCCCCCCCACACUCCUCUUCCUCCACCAGUGCAAAGAUCCCACCCAAAUGGUUCAGUUUUCCAUUGGUGGGCACUUUUCUUUAGUUACGUAAAGAAUUGAACCUGUUCUUCCUAACAAGAAAUGUGCAUUGAAGGAAACUUGUGACAGGAAGUGAAAAGCAAGGGCACCAUUUCAGGUGUGCUGAGGGAAGAGACCUCGGGGGCGAGAGGAGAUUCCAAAUUCCAUUCUUUGAUCAUAUCACGAAGUUUGUUUCACGUUGCCAAACUUGGGGUUCAGGCAGGAGCCAUAAUCCACUUCAGGGAUUCCAACAGGCAUUGCUCAUGCAGUUCCAAGCAUCUAUUUGCAACCCAAAAGGGCAAUUAGAUUCCAGUUUACAUCUUAUGGCUUCACGACCUCCUGCUCCAAGGUGCUGUCCUUGGAGAUAUGAGGAUACAGGGGAAGUAUCAAUUGCUUUUCCAACUGCAGGUGGAUCCAAGAAGCAAACAAUGCUGUCCCCAUCUGUAAGGUCUGGGCUGUCAAAAAGUUGCAAAAAACACCACUUGGCUGAAGCCGGCAAGCAGCGCAGUCACAAGCAGCUGCAGGGAAAACCUGGAUGGAAUUGCCAUUAAGUGAAAAAGGACAUUGGAACAGCAGUCCUGCUGCAAAGGCCUCCUGAAACAAAGGUGUCUUAACGGAUGCCGGGAGCUCCAAAUGUCAAAAUGAGCACCUUCAGAGGGGCCAAAGCACACACUCUCAUUUCAAGGAAGGAUUAUCAUCAUAGGAGCCAAGGUCCCUUAUGCCCCCCAAUAAAAGA